UACGUAGGGUCCAAGCGUUGUCCGGAAUUAUUGGGCGUAAAGGGCUCGUAGGCGGUCUGUUGCGUCGGGAGUGAAAACUUACAGCUUAACUGUGAGCGUGCUUCCGAUACGGGCAGACUUGAGGUAUUCAGGGGAGAACGGAAUUCCUGGUGUAGCGGUGAAAUGCGCAGAUAUCAGGAGGAACACCGGUGGCGAAGGCGGUUCUCUGGGAAUAUCCUGACGCUGAGGAGCGAAAGUGUGGGGAGCGAACAGG
rnacentral:rRNA from 1 species